rnacentral:rRNA from 1 species
ACAUUCCUACGGGGGGCAGCAGUGGGGGAUAUUGGACAAUGGGGGGAACCCUGAUCCAGCGACGCCGCGUGAGUGAAGAAGUAUUUCGGUAUGUAAAGCUCUGUCAGCAGGGAAGAAAGAAAUGACGGUACCUGACCAAGAAGCCCCGGCUAACUACGUGCCAGCAGCCGCGGUAAUACGUAGGGGGCAAGCGUUAUCCGGAUUUACUGGGUGUAAAGGGAGCGCAGACGGCUGUGCAAGUCUGGAGUGAAAGGCGGGGGCCCAACCCCCGGACUGCUCUGGAAACUGUAAAGCUGGAGUGCAGG